UGAGUACUCAGUUUCUUAAACUGUUAUCUUUAUUCUCUUUCUAUUUGUGUUUAGUACAUGAAAGUUCUGAUCUUUGUCUUUUAAAGUCAUGGGGUUAAUUUUAAUUUUUACAUGCAUGGGUUUUUUUAUUACUACUUAAGAAUUCAGAGCUCAUGAGACUGACUGUUAUUAUUGUAAUUAAGGCUAACCCUUGAUUUAAUUUACAGUUAUGAGUGCAUCUGUGCAUUUUCAGCUACUUUUAUGUUUAUUCUAGUUUUGCUUUUUUGCCAUUUAAGAGAGCAAAGAAAUUGCCUGAUCUAAUCUGUAUUAUAGGACCUCAGUGCCUUUUGAAGAGGUAUGGCUUGAGUGAUGUUGGAAGCUCUUUAUGGUGUGAUCUUGCUAUUUGUGAUUCGAAAUUGGAGUUGCCUUUUAUUUACAUGGUUUAAUCAAUUGAAGUUGUCAGUUGGGUUGGUGUAGAUUAGUUUCUGGUAUUUAAUGCACUUUUGAUUUGGUAUGGGAAUUGAAGCAUGAUCUAUAUCACUAUAUGUUCUGGAUAGGAAAAUUGGGGUUCACAUAUACGAAAGUUUUAGCCUUUAAAUUUUCUUGUACUUUUUAGGUUUUCUCACUAGUUGAUAUUGUUUGCUGCUUUUCUGCUUUGUUCGUGAUUAUUAAUAGCAACGGGAGAAUUCAGAGUUUAUUUAGAAGAACCAGAUCCAGAUGGCUACAUUUGGGGAUAUUGGACUUGCGGCAGCUAUCAAUAUCAUCACUGCGCUGAUCUUUCUCAUAGCUUUUGCCAUACUAAGACUUCAACCUUUCAACGAUAGAGUUUAUUUUCCGAAAUGGUAUCUUAAGAAAUUAAGAGAAAGUCCAUCAAGGUCUGGGACAUUUGUUAGCAAGUUUGUGAAUUUAGAUAUCAAAUCAUAUGUCAAGUUUCUCAAGUGGAUGCCUGAUGCAUUCCAAAUGCCAGAACUCGAGCUUAUUGACCAUGCAGGAUUGGAUUCUGUUGUGUACUUAAGGAUUUACUUGCUUGGGUAUGUAACCUCAGUCCUUUUUUAAUCUAGCAUCACUUGUUUGGAUCUGAAAUUUGAGAUACUUGAUUGAUAAUCUUUUUAAUGGUAUGAUAACAAUGAAAUCCUUUUUUGGGCUAUUCGGUGGUGUGGCCUAAAUUANAAAAAAAAAAAAAAAAGGAAAGAAAAGCUACUCCAAACCGGGUCAUCUCCAGGCCCUAAAGGCUAAAGUACUUGUGCAUUCAAGCCAUGUUGAAUAUUUGUGUAAGUUUUAACAUAAUUUUCCGUAUUAAUUUGAGCGUGAACAAUGAAAUAGAGUAAUAUUAUUGGGAUUGUACUGUUCACCUGCCAAACAUGUACUAAUAAUCACAAAUCUGAGCCACAAGGUGAUAAUCUUAUCCACCAGAUUCUGUGACAACAAAAGCAGAAGCAUCAGUCCUACCGACACACCCUUCAAUUAUUUCAUUCUUGGUUUAAAUUCGGUUGGAAUAGUUCCACAAGACAAAACUGGAUUUUGUAAUCUUGCCUUUGCGCAUAAUAUAUAUUUUAAAAAUAUAUGUAAGAAAUCAAAUCGACUAUUAUUUUGAAACGGAAAGAGAAUAUUAUAACAAUCAUUUUAUUACACUCGAGCCAUAUCUCCGGUUAUAGAAAAAUGACUCCAGAUCUCACAUGUUCGGUAAGUAAUGUCCUAAAUAACAGAUUAGAAAAAAAUGUCCCAAAUACCGGUGAUAAUUUAGAUUUUCAAUUUGAGAUGAAAACGUUAGAUCAUGUAGCGUUUUACUGUUUUAACCUCAGCAAAACGCUACACGGCAUAAAUGAUGGAUAUAAUAACAGUCAAGCCAACACCUAUCAGUUAAAAGUACUCCCUAUGUCCCUCUGGUUAGUUUAUCCGGGAGAUGAGAGUUUGACACGCAUUUUAAUGCUACUUGAAAACAUAGUUUAUGAACUUAUUUUUUAAUUUUUUUCUUUUGAACAAAAAUUUGAUGUUUGAAUUUUUAUACACAAAAAGAAAAUCUUAAAUAUAAGUUAUGAAAUUAUAUUUUAAAAGAGUCUUAAAAUAUUGUCAAGCAGUGAAAAAAAUCAUAAAAAAAAUGAGAGGGACGGAUGGAGCAUGUUAGUACCUCAAAACGUUAUAACAGAGCUUGUUACACCUUUAGUAAAUGAGGUCGUUACAACAGCCUUUGUUGUUAUUAUUACUUGUGCUGUAUUGUCAUUAUUAUUGCUCAAAAAUAUCUCUCCUAAUCUCUCCACUCCACACUCUCAUUUUAUCAUUACCACUGCUUCAACAUCUUCUUAGCUUCUCAAACAGUUACAGACUGUACUUACUGACAUUUACACACACAUGCAUAUAUUCACCAUAGUUGAGACCUUUCUGCUAUAACUAUCUACUGGGGUCUUGAUCACUUUCACUCAGGAAGCUCAGGAGUGUAGCAUUUAUUAAGAAACUGUAUGAGUACUCAGUUUCUUAAACUGUUAUCUUUAUUCUCUUUCUAUUUGUGUUUAGUACAUGAAAGUUCUGAUCUUUGUCUUUUAAAGUCAUGGGGUUAAUUUUAAUUUUUACAUGCAUGGGUUUUUUUAUUACUACUUAAGAAUUCAGAGCUCAUGAGACUGACUGUUAUUAUUGUAAUUAAGGCUAACCCUUGAUUUAAUUUACAGUUAUGAGUGCAUCUGUGCAUUUUCAGCUACUUUUAUGUUUAUUCUAGUUUUGCUUUUUUGCCAUUUAAGAGAGCAAAGAAAUUGCCUGAUCUAAUCUGUAUUAUAGGACCUCAGUGCCUUUUGAAGAGGUAUGGCUUGAGUGAUGUUGGAAGCUCUUUAUGGUGUGAUCUUGCUAUUUGUGAUUCGAAAUUGGAGUUGCCUUUUAUUUACAUGGUUUAAUCAAUUGAAGUUGUCAGUUGGGUUGGUGUAGAUUAGUUUCUGGUAUUUAAUGCACUUUUGAUUUGGUAUGGGAAUUGAAGCAUGAUCUAUAUCACUAUAUGUUCUGGAUAGGAAAAUUGGGGUUCACAUAUACGAAAGUUUUAGCCUUUAAAUUUUCUUGUACUUUUUAGGUUUUCUCACUAGUUGAUAUUGUUUGCUGCUUUUCUGCUUUGUUCGUGAUUAUUAAUAGCAACGGGAGAAUUCAGAGUUUAUUUAGAAGAACCAGAUCCAGAUGGCUACAUUUGGGGAUAUUGGACUUGCGGCAGCUAUCAAUAUCAUCACUGCGCUGAUCUUUCUCAUAGCUUUUGCCAUACUAAGACUUCAACCUUUCAACGAUAGAGUUUAUUUUCCGAAAUGGUAUCUUAAGAAAUUAAGAGAAAGUCCAUCAAGGUCUGGGACAUUUGUUAGCAAGUUUGUGAAUUUAGAUAUCAAAUCAUAUGUCAAGUUUCUCAAGUGGAUGCCUGAUGCAUUCCAAAUGCCAGAACUCGAGCUUAUUGACCAUGCAGGAUUGGAUUCUGUUGUG
rnacentral:lncRNA from 1 species